GGAUAUGAGGGUAAUCUGGCUGCGACAUCUGUCAUCCCAUUGAUUACCAGGGUUAAUCCCCCUGAUCUGGCUGGCUAGGGGGAUAUCUCCUUCCUCCCUCACUGGUCCAUGUGCAUCCCACCAGAAGUUGCAUGUUCUGUUGAGGAGGAAUGAUGACCUUCCCUGAAUAGAGGAGGACCCCCGGUCAAGAAAGAAAAAUGACAAACUGAACUACCUAGAAAGGACACUUUGCAGCAUGCUGUGCUGCGU
rnacentral:sRNA from 14 species